AUGGCUAGCCAUCAGGAACUCAACAACAGCAUCAAGAUGCCCACUCUGGGCCUGGGCACCUGGAAGUCCCCUCCUAACCAGGUGACUGAGGCUAUGCAGGUUGCUAUUGACUUGGGGUAUUGCCACAUUGGUGCCUAGGUGUACCAAAAUGAGGAGGUGGGAGUGGCCCUCCAGAAGAAGUUCAAGGAGCAGGUGGUGAAGCACCAGGAUCUCUUCAUCAUCAGCAAGCAUGCACAUUCCACAAGAGCAUGGUGAAAGGAGCCUGCCAGAAGACACUAAGCGACCUGCAGCUGGACUUCCUGGAUCUCUACCUUAUUCACUGGCCAACGGGCUUCAAGCCUGGGCCCAAUUAUUUCCCACUGGAUGCUUCAGGAAACGUGAUUCCUAGUGACACCGAUUUUGUGGACACUUGGAUGGCUAUGGAACAACUAGUGGAUGAAGGUUUGGUAGAAGCAAUUGGUGUCUCCAACUUCAACCCUCUUCAGAUUGAGAGGAUCUUCAACAAACAUGGCUUAAAAUAUAAGCCUGCAGUUAACCAGAUCAAGUGCCACCCCUACUUAACUCAGGAGAAGCUGGUUGAGUAUUGCCAUUAAAAAGGCAUACAGUCCCUUUGGUCCUCCUGACAAGGCCCUGGGCCAAGCCUGAAGAUCCUUCUCUCCUGGAGGAUCCCAGGAUCAAGACAAUUGCAGCCAAGUACAAUAAAACUACAGCCCAGGUGCUGAUCCAGUUCCCCAUUCAGAGGAACUGGGUAGUCAUCAAUCUGUGACACCCUCGCUCAUUGCUGAGAACUUUAAGGUGUUUGACUGAGCUGAGCAGCGAGGACAUGACCAGGAACUGGAGGGUGUGCACCUUGGUGAGCUGUGCCAAACACGAGGAUGACCCUUUCCACACACAAGUCUGA